UACGUAGGGUGCAAGCGUUAAUCGGAAUUACUGGGCGUAAAGCGUGCGCAGGCGGUUUUGUAAGUCUGUCGUGAAAUCCCCGGGCUUAACCUGGGAAUGGCGAUGGAGACUGCAAGGCUAGAGUUUGGCAGAGGGGGGUAGAAUUCCACGUGUAGCAGUGAAAUGCGUUGAGAUGUGGAGGAACACCGAUGGCGAAGGCAGCCCCCUGGGUCAAAACUGACGCUCAUGCACGAAAGCGUGGGGAGCAAACAGG
rnacentral:rRNA from 1 species